CCUACGGGGGGCAGCAGUGAGGAAUAUUGGUCAAUGGACGAGAGUCUGAACCAGCCAAGCAGCGUGAAGGAUGACUGCCCUAUGGGUUGUAAACUUCUUUUAUAUGGGAAUAAAAUGUUCCACGUGUGGGAUUUUGUAUGUACCAUAUGAAUAAGGAUCGGCUAACUCCGUGCCAGCAGCCGCGGUAAUACGGAGGAUCCGAGCGUUAUCCGGAUUUAUUGGGUUUAAAGGGAGCGUAGGUGGAUUGUUAAGUCAGUUGUGAAAGUUUGCGGCUCAACCGUAAAAUUGCAGUUGAAACUGGCAGUCUUGAGUACAGUAGAGGUGAGCGGAAUUCGUGGUGUAGCGGUGAAAUGCUUAGAUAUCACGAAGAACUCCGAUUGCGAAGGCAGUUCACUGGACUGCAACUGACACUGAGGCUCGAAAGUGUGGGUAUCAAACAGGAUUAGAUACCCCAGUAGUC
rnacentral:rRNA from 1 species